UUUACACUGGAAAUGACGACUUUCACUUUUGACAAAAAAAUAAACAUGAAAUGUCUGAAAGGAUAAAUGUGAUGUUUAUCGGCGAUACAGCAGUUGGAAAAACUUCACUAAUAGACUAUUUAAAUUCGGGCAAACAAGAUCCUUUGAUUUAUUCAACUACUGAUGUAUUGACCUAUACCAUAAAUUCGGGCAAUUCAUUGUUGAACAUACGUGUUUUUGAUACACCUGGACAGAAAAUAUUUGAGCCAAAAGUUAUUCCAUUUUAUCCUACAUGUACAGUUUUUGUUUUUGUUUAUGACAAAACUUACAGACCAAGCUUGGACAAAAUUGGCUAUUUGUAUAAUAUCAUCAAUGACCAUGUACAUUCUGAGGCGUGUGAAUUCUUCCUUGUUGGAAAUAAAAUUGAUGAAAGAGAGAAAGAAGUAGUGAGCAGACAGGAAGGUUUGAAUAAAAAGAAACAGUUAAAUAUGAAAUUUUUCAUUGAAACUUCAGCAGUAAGUGGAGAAAACAUAGAGACUUUAUUUAAAGUAAUAACUGAGACUGUGAGGAAAAAACAGGAGGAAAAGGGUGGCACAGUGUUUUUGCAAGAUCAUCAACCUGAAAAGUCAAUGUGUCCUUGUUAAUCUGUCUCAUAGAGCUUUCAUUUCAUUUAAAGAUGUGCAAUACAUGUAACUUAAAAUAAUAACAAUGUUGUGUUUUUUUAUUAUUUCCAACAACUUAUGUGCUACAUCAAAAAGGAAAAAGGAAGUCUUAAAACCUCAGUAAUUAUAAUUUUUUUUACCACUUUUUUUAAUAUGUUGUCUGAAUAGAUCUGGAUCAAAACUGGUCACAAUCAUAUUCUGUGUUUUACGAUGACUGCCAUUGUUUUUAAAUGUUUUAAUGUUGCAUAUUUAUAGUGUCAGUUUAGCCAUUCAUACUCAUUGGAGUCUUUAGUUUUGUCUCAAUCUCAUAAUUUGUAUUUAAAAAAGAUGAAAAUCUAAAACCUAUAAUUUGUUGUAUUAAAAUAUGUAAUAAAACUAAAAAUUCAUUUUAAUAUAUAUGAAACUUUGACCUUAAUGAGCAGUUGAGAUGUUAGGUUACAGAUGAGGGUCUGGGUGGGUUUUACAGAAUAAAGAAUAAUUGUUAAUGUCCAAAAAAAUAUUGAAUAGAGAAAAAUGAGCAAAAAUUCAAUAAUAGAGAAUAGUGGGGUGCAAAAGUAUAAAGAAAAACUGUAGAAAAUAAUAAAAUUAAGUAAUACAAUACUGAUAACAGAAAUGAACGCUAUACAGAAUAAAAAAAUCAUGUAAUUACAAAAACAAUUAAUAGCAAAAUUAUUUUGAUGAACAUUUUAAUUUUUAAGAUAAAAAAAAAUGCAUGACAAAAUUUAUAGAAUUCAGAUACAUGUAUUAAGGACCCCCAUCCAGACCCUUGAUAAAACAAAGGGCAUUGAAGACUUAAGAACAUACAAUGUAUUUUUUUCUGAAUGUAUUGGUUACAAUUACAGUCCUGUGGAUUUAUUUUAUUCGUUGGAUACCAAUUUUAUGGAUUCUGUGAGUACAUGUGAACCAAAAAUUUAAAUGUUGAACGAAUGACACAUUUUCUAUAUUGUCGUAUGCAGACUUUGGCAAAACCAUGACAUUAAAACCGCUGAAUUAAAUAUCCACAAAAAUGCAAUUUUUCCCAAACCAUGAAAAUAAAUGAAUCCCCAGUAAUGUACUUGUUAUUAGUAUGUUGUGUAUGUGGGCUUAUCUGCUUUAAAUAGAUUCCAUUUGCGACUGAAGAGGGUGAUAUAGGCAAAGGGAACUUAGGACAAUAACUAAUAUAUAUAUAUAUAUAUAAAUGUUUUAUUUAUAUUUACAGUUGCUCAAAGUAAUUUGUCGUCAAAAUGAUAAGUAAUUAAAACAGUAGGAAUGCUAGUAUGAAAUUUGUAUUUAAGCAUAAAAUCUUAGUAUCGACUGUUGGGUAAAAAGGGGCCACAUCUUAUAAUAUUUGUCGUUUAUACCUGAUUUAUUUCAAAUGGUUUUUUAAACUUUUUUUUUAUUUUGUAUUUAUUGAUGUGUUUACAAAUAUAUAUAUGGCUGUUUUAUAUAUAAAUUUUUAUAGUUGUCUUUUUUAAGGUGCAACCUUUGUCAGAUUUCUUUGGUGCUAAAAUUAAUGAUCUGAUAUUCAUUUGAAACAUUGGUUUGACAAUUGUUUUUAUAAAACAUAUUCAAUUGUGCCAACAUUUUUUUGAUAUUAUGAAAUGACAUUUGUUUUUAAUUAGAUAAUUUUUAUGAAAGAAUUUACCAUUUAACAGAGAACAGCUCUUUAUUUUAUAAUACAUGUAAUGUGUUUAACUUAAUAUAUAGGGAUUCCAAUAGAAGAUUGUAUCUUACUUUUUUGCCGAUACACAUGUGUUUGGUUUAAGUGUUGAGAGUUUCGAAUUUCCAUUUAAUGUUCCCAAUUCCUUCAGGAUAUAUAUGUAUCAUAUUCUAUCAGUCUCUUAAGUUUUUUAAAGAUAUAUCGAGGCACUGAUUGAUAGGAAAAAAAAUUAAAACUGGUGUUGGUUUUAGUUGUUUAAAGUAAUAUUCGUCGGACAUUAAGUAGCAUAAAUGAGAUCUAUAUUGGUAAAACUGUAUGGGUUUUCUCUACUAGGGUUGCUGUUGUCUGUGAAAAUAUACCAAAUUAAAAAAAAAUGAAACCCAAAUAAAAAACUAGAGACCUUUAUGAUAUAUUCAAAAUUUGUGUAAAGGAACAAAAUGGUAAAUUGUCCCCGGGGGAGUUACUUCUAAAUUGUCACUAUGUUUCUUUGAUGCAGAAUGGUAUUUAUUGUCUCACCUGCGACGAAAGUUGCAGUAUGCGAGAUAACAGUAUUACUAUCCGGGGGCGGCAACUUUUGUCGCAGAAAGCUCGACAUAGGGAUAGUGAUCAGGCGGCGGCAGCGUUAGCUAACUUCUUAAAAGCUUUAUAUUUUAGAAGGUGGAAAGUCUGGAUGCUUCAUACUUUGUAAAUGGAUGCCUCAUGUUACGAGGUUUCCGUCAGUCACAUGUCCAAUGUCCUUGACCUCAUUUUCAUGGUUCAGUGACUACUUGAAAAAAAAGUUAAGCUUUUUUGUAAUGUUAAAUUCUCUCUUAUUAUAAGUUAUAGGAUAACUAUAUGUGGUAUGUGCGUACCUUGCAAUGUCCUCAUGCCCGUCAGACAGUUUUCACUUGACCUCGACCUCAUUUUUUUGGAUCAGUGAAUAAGGUUAAGUUUUGGUGGUCAAGUCCAUAUCUCAGAUACUAUAAGCAAUAGGUCUAGUAUAUUCGGUGUAUGGAAGGACUGUAAGGUGUACAUGUCCAACUGGCAGGUGUCAACUGACCUUGACCUCAUUUUCAUGGUUCAGUGGUUAUAGUUAAGAUUUUGUGUUUUGGUCUGUUUUUCUUAUACUGUAUGCAAUAUGUCUUCUAUAUUUGGUGUAUGGAAUGAUUGUAAGGUGUACAUGUCUAGCUGGCAGGUGUCAUCUGACCUUGACCUCAUUUUCAUGGUUCAAUGGUCAAAGUUAAGUUUUUGAGUUUUGGUCUUUUUUUCUAAUACUAUAUGCAAUAGUUCAACUAUAUUUGGUGUAUGGAAAUAUUUUAUGAUCUAUUUGUCAGUCAUACAGGUUUUUUUUUUUACCUUGACCUUAUUUUCAAGGUUCAUUGCUCAGUGUUAAGUUUUUGUGUUUUGGUCUGUUUUUCUUAAACUAUAAGCAAUUGGUCAACUAUAUUUGUUGUAUGGAAGAAUUGUUAGCUGUAAAUGCCUGCCUAGCAUGGUUCAUCUGACCUUGACCUCAUUUUCAUGGUUCAUUGGUCAAUGUUUAGUUUACUUGUUUAAUGUUAAGUUUAUGUGACAGUUGUAAUAAAUCUUUAUAUUUAGGACUAUCAACAUAAUAUCAAUGAUUAGUAAAGAAGGCGAGACAUUUCAGCGUGUGCACUCUUGUAUUUCAGAAGGUAGAAGACCUGGAUGCUUCAUACCUUGUGUGCAGAUACCUUAUGUUACGAAGUUUCUGCCUGCCAUAUGCCCUUUGUCCUUGACCUCGUUUUCAUGGUUCAGUGACUGCUUGAAAAAAAAAUAUAUUUUUGUCAUGUGAAUUUCUCACUUAUUGUGAGUAAUAGGAUAACUAUAUUUGGUAUAUGGGUUCCUUGCAACGUCUACAUGUCCUUCAGACAGGGUUAACCUGACCUCGACCUCAAUUCAUGGAUCAUUGAUCAAGGUUAAAGUUAUGUGAUUAGGUCCGUUUCUCAGAUAUUACAAGCAGCAGGUCAACUGUAUGUGGUGUAUGGAAUGAUUGUAAGGGGUACAUGUCAGACUGGCAGGAUUCAUCUGACCUUGACCUCAUUUUCAUGGUUCAUUGGUCAUUGUUAAAUUUUUGUGUUUUGGUCUGUUUUUCAAGUACUGUAAGCAAUAGGUCAACUAUAUUUGGUGUAUGGAAUGAUUGUAAGGUGUACAUGUCUGUCUAGCUGGUGUCAUCUGACUUUGACCUCAUUUUAAUGGUUCAUUGGUCAAUGUUAAGUUUUUGUGUUUUGAUCUGUUUUUCAAAACUAAUAGCAAUAGGUCAACUAUAAUUGAUGUAUGGAAUGAUUGAAAGGUGUACAUAUCUGUCUAGCCAGAAUCAUCUGACCUUGACCUCAUUUCCAUGGUUCAUUGGUUAACAUUAAGUUUAUGAUUUUUGAUCUGUUUUUCAAUUACCAUAAGCAAUGGGUCAGCUUUAUUUGGUGUAUGGAAUAAUUGUUAGGUGUACAUGUCUGUGUGACAGUUUUUAUCUGACCUUGACCUCAUUGUCGAUCUUUAAAAAUGUUAAGUUUAUUUGAUAUUUGUAGUAAAACCUUUAUCUUUGAGACUUUCAACAUGAAAUCAAUGGUCAGUAAAACAGGAGAGCCAUUUCAGCGUGUGCACUCUUGUUAACACCUGUCCAGUUUUUUAUACCUUUUGCAACCUUUGAAAUUUUAGUUGGAAUAUCUACUUAAUAUUCUUUAUCUUAACACAUUUUUUGCAUAGUUUUCUAAAAUUCUAUCUUACCUUUUGUAUAUUAUAUGAAGAUGAUAUUAUAGAUUGUAUCAUUAUAACUAUAGUAUUAGUGUUUUGAAGCGUUCUUCUGGAAAAUAUUAUUCAAAUAUUGCAUAUUUAUCAUAGUUGUUAUUUAUAAUAAAAUACUAUUACAUUUUGUUGUCAUUUAAAA